rnacentral:rRNA from 1 species
UGCAAGUCGAACGAUGAAGCCCCUCGGGGUGGAUUAGUGGCGAACGGGUGAGUAACACGUGGGCAAUCUGCCCUGCACUCUGGGACAAGCCCUGGAAACGGGGUCUAAUACCGGAUACCACUCCCGCAGGCAUCUGCGGGGGUUGAAAGCUCCGGCGGUGCAGGAUGAGCCCGCGGCCUAUCAGCUGGUUGGUGAGGUAACGGCUCACCAAGGCGACGACGGGUAGCCGGCCUGAGAGGGCGACCGGCCACACUGGGACUGAGACACGGCCCAGACUCCUACGGGAGGCAGCAGUGGGGAAUAUUGCACAAUGGGCGCAAGCCUGAUGCAGCGACGCCGCGUGAGGGAUGACGGCCUUCGGGUUGUAAACCUCUUUCAGCAGGGAAGAAGCGCAAGUGACGGUACCUGCAGAAGAAGCGCCGGCUAACUACGUGCCAGCAGCCGCGGUAAUACGUAGGGCGCGAGCGUUGUCCGGAAUUAUUGGGCGUAAAGAGCUCGUAGGCGGCUUGUCACGUCGGGUGUGAAAGCCCGGGGCUUAACCCCGGGUCUGCAUUCGAUACGGGCUAGCUAGAGUGUGGUAGGGGAGAUCGGAAUUCCUGGUGUAGCGGUGAAAUGCGCAGAUAUCAGGAGGAACACCGGUGGCGAAGGCGGAUCUCUGGGCCAUUACUGACGCUGAGGAGCGAAAGCGUGGGGAGCGAACAGGA